CGAACCAAUAUAAAAAUACUCGUGUGAAUUUUUCUUAUCCCUACACUUAUUUUACUUAUCGCACAUCAACUGUUUGGUUAAUUUUCUGAAAGAAAAUUACUUUGAUAAAAAAGGGCAAAAUUGUUUCAACUGUGACCUAAUACGCUUUACGCUCUCUGUGUUUUUAAUCCGCUGCGCUAAACUCUUUGAAAAUUACCCCCU
rnacentral:lncRNA from 1 species